rnacentral:tRNA from 1 species
GGGCCGGUGGUCUAGGGGUAUGAUACCUCCCUGACACGGAGGUGAUCACGAGUUCGAAUCUCGUCCGGCCCAUCA